CGGACGGGUCAGUAACGCGUGAGAACCUGCCUCAAGGUCGGGGACAACAGUUGGAAACGACUGCUAAUACCGGAUGAGCCGAAUAGGUAAAAGAUUUAUCGCCUAGAGAGGGGCUCGCGUCUGAUUAGCUAGAUGGUGAGGUAAAGGCUUACCAUGGCGACGAUCAGUAGCUGGUCUGAGAGGAUGAGCAGCCACACUGGGACUGAGACACGGCCCAGACUCCUACGGGAGGCAGCAGUGGGGAAUUUUCCGCAAUGGGCGAAAGCCUGACGGAGCAAUACCGCGUGAGGGAGGAAGGCUCUUGGGUUGUAAACCUCAAAACUUAGGGAAGAAAAAAAUGACGGUACCUAAUGUAAGCAUCGGCUAACUCCGUGCCAGCAGCCGCGGUAAUACGGAGGAUGCAAGCGUUAUCCGGAAUCAUUGGGCGUAAAGAGUCCGUAGGUGGCACUUCAAGUCUGCUUUCAAAGACCGAAGCUCAACUUCGGAAAGGGAGUGGAAACUGAAGAGCUAGAGUAUAGUAGGGGUAGAGGGAAUUCCUAGUGUAGCGGUGAAAUGCGUAGAGAUUAGGAAGAACACCAGUGGCGAAGGCGCUCUACUGGGCAUAUACUACACUGAGGGGAGGAAAAAGCCACAAGACG
rnacentral:rRNA from 1 species